rnacentral:tmRNA from 1 species
GGGGGCGUAAAGGUUUCGACGGGGGCUGGGAAGUUCGAUUGGCGAGUCGGGCGCAUAACCCGUAAAAUGUGCAACUUUCUAAAUUUAAACGAGAACAACGAUUCCGUUCUGAUGGCCGCUUAAGGCCGUCCGUCUGCCCGGAGCAUACCGCGGGUUCCGGUGUCAGGCGUCAUUGACGCGGUGAACGGCUGCUGUCAAGCGUGUAGCAGCAGCGGCACAGCACGCUACCAAAUCGGAUAGCCUGUUUGCCGGCGCUCCGGUGCGGGAAUGCAAUAGACAAACUACACUCGUAGAUGAUCGGAUGGAUCGGUUUUCGGACGCGGGUUCAAUUCCCGCCGCCUCCA